rnacentral:rRNA from 1 species
AGUGAACGCUGGCGGCGUGCUUAACACAUGCAAGUCGCACGAGAAAGCUUCUGCUUGCAGAGGCGAGUAAAGUGGCGCACGGGUGAGUAACACGUGUGUAAUCUACCUUCGAAUUGGGGAUAACGUUGCGAAAGCGACGCUAAUACCGAAUGACAUCCUUGAGUCUUUGGGCUUGAGGAUCAAAGGUGGCCUCUUCAUGAAAGCUACUGUUUGAAGAUGAGCCCGCGUCCCAUUAGCUAGUUGGUAGGGUAACGGCCUACCAAGGCUACGAUGGGUAGCUGGUCUGAGAGGAUGAUCAGCCACACUGGAACUGACACACGGUCCAGACUCCUACGGGAGGCUG